rnacentral:rRNA from 1 species
CCGAUAGGCGUAGUCGAUGGACAACCGGUUGAUAUUCCGGUACCCGCUUUGAAACGCCCAGUACUGAAUCAGGCGAUGCUAAGUCCGUGAAGCCGGCCCGAUCUCUUCGGAGUUGAGGGUAGUGGUGGAGCCGAUGAACCAGACUUGUAGUAGGUAAGCGAUGGGGUGACGCAGGAAGGUAGUCCAGCCCGGGCGGUGGUUGUCCCGGGGUAAGGGUGUAGGACGCACGGUAGGCAAAUCCGUCGUGCAUAUAGUCUGAGACCUGAUGCCGAGCCGAUUGUGGUGAAGUGGAUGAUCCUAUGCUGUCGAGAAAAGCCUCUAGCGAGUUUCAUGGCGGCCCGUACCCCAAACCAACUCAGG